rnacentral:sRNA from 14 species
UGUGUCAACGGUAAGCGGACAGAUCGAAGCGAUAGCGAAGAGAAGGAGCAUUAAGGAGUUGAUACACUCACAAUG